rnacentral:rRNA from 1 species
CCCUUAGAUGUUCUGGGCUGCACGCGCGCUACACUGAAGCUAUCAACACGUUUUCCCUCCCUGAGAAGGGCGGGUAACCUUUUGAAUCAGCUUCGUGGUAGGGAUCGGGGCUUGCAAUUGUUCCCCGUGAACCAGGAAUUCCUAGUAGACGCGAGUCAUAAGCUCGCAUCGAUUAAGUCCCUGCCCUUUGUACACACCGCCCGUCGCUACUACCGAUUGAACGUUUUAGUGAGGCAUUUGGACCGACGCAUCUCAGUUUAACAGCUGGUUUGUGUUGGAAAGACUUCCAAACUUGAGCGUUUAGAGGAAGUAAAAGUCGUAACA